GUCUAUCUAAUCCUGCAUCCUUGCAUGCACCGACAGGACAGGUUUUGUUCCCAAAGACACUCCCCAGUAAACUUCCUGUAUGGAAAUCUCCAUCUCUGAGUCUGCUUCCUGGGGAACCCAGAGCGCAACAGAGGGUAUUAUCUUGGCACAUUGAUCUUAAGCCACCUGAGUAUCAGGUGUUACUAGUUGGCCAGAAUCUUAAGCACUAUUCUGUGAAGUUUCAGACACUCAGCAAGAAAGCGAUGUUCUGAAGGCCUGACCUGUCAAGUGGCUUCUCAGGCAGUUUACAAGUACCAAAGUACGCCCUCCAGAGCUUCUAUUGAGGAUUUCUACAGGUUGCCAGAGAGAGGGAAUGGAAAUUAACUUGCCUGCUUUGUGCCACUAAUAAUACAGUACACGACGCUGUCAAAACAGCUUUAUAGAUUACCAACACUACCUGUGAACGCCCUGCCGACUUCCAGAAGUUAUAUUAAUGGGCAGCUGCAGAAAAUCUGGCAGAAGGAGCAUCUGAGAUAAUGGUUUUGGCUUGAUGCCUCAUGGUUGCAAGGUGGCUGCUGCAGCUCCAAGCAUCUUGUCCUUAACACCAGCAUGUUCAAGGCAAGAAGAGGGGAGUGGCUGGUGUUAAGGAACUUUCCUCUCAGCUUUUCUCAGAAGCCCCCAAGCUGACUUCUCCUUGAAGCUCAUUGGCCAGAAC